rnacentral:pre_miRNA from 1 species
AUAAAAGCCACCUGGGGAUCUUUCUUGUUAAAAUGCAGAUUCUUACUCAGUAGAUGGUGGUGGGGGUUGGCCUAAGAGUCUGCAUUGUUCACCAGCUCAUCCGUGGUGUGGAU